UGAUGUAGCUUAUACCCAUUAUAUCUCACAGUUACAACAAAGUGGGUUGCUUAAAGGGGAUGAUCACAUGGAUCGCUUUUUCCGAAUCCUCAUGGAAAUUUCUGUAGCAAAUUGUUUGGCCACUGACAUGAUUAAUCCAAGCUCAUUGUCCCUACAAACGCCACAACAAGUCCAGCAUCUCUCAUUUGCUGUUAUUGAUAUGUAUGCAAAGCUUGUGGUUUUAGUUAUUAAGUUUGGGUAUCUAUGAACAGUAUCAGGAGCAAUGGGAUGAUCUGUUGCAACCCCAUGUGUUGUGGGUUUGUUGUAUAUGAAGUUCGAUCAAUAAUGGUAACUCCCUCUCCUUUUUGUUGCAUUGUAAAAACAAAUGCAUUUGCUUGGUUUGCUGGUU